ACAUGCCAUUGCGAGGCUCACCGUUGGCAAAGAAGCGAAGUCCUUUCUCUCCUGUGAGGACCAGCAGCACAUGGGAUUCCCAGGAAAACCGAAGCCCAGCUCACGAAGGCGCAUUGGCCAAGUGAGGCUCGCUGUCACAAGGGAAGAAGACCUUCCUCUGCUUCGGUGUGCGUCCGUGAGCAGCAGCACCAAAGAGUUGUCACCCAGGGUGGAAACCACCCCCAUCAAUGUCUCGCGAUGGUGGACUUGCAGUUAUGGCCGCCACGGGCAAAGGAAAGGCCAAUGUUUUGUCCAACCUGGUCAGAGUCAUGUGGAUGUCGUGAUACAGCAUGGCCCUGGGUGUGCCCCACAGCUGAGUAUCACCCAAGGCGGUGCAUUGGCCAGUGAGUCUUGCAGUCACAAAGAAAGAAGACCUUCCUCUACUUCAGUAAGCAUCUGUGUGCAGCAGCCCCAAAGAGUUGUCACCCAGAAUGGGAACCACCCCCGGCAAUAUCUCAUGAUGGUGAACAUCCCAUGCGAGGCUCAAUGUUGGUGCAGAAUCGAAGUCCUUCCUCUCCUGUGAGGACCAGCUGCUUGCAGGAGUCCCAGGCAAACCAAGGCCCAGCUCACAAAGGUGCAUUGGCCAGUGAGUCUCACAGUCCCAAGAAAGACUUUCCUCUGCUUUGGUGAGCAUCUGUGUGCAGCAGCCCCGAAGAGUUGUUGCCCAGGGUGGGAACCACCCCCGGCAAUGUCUCGCGAUGGUGGACGUGCCAUGCGAGGCUCACUGUCGGCAAAGAAGCAAAGUCGGUUCCUCUCCUGUGAGGACCAGCGGCACACAGGUGUCCCAGGCAAACCGAGGCCCAGCUCACAAAGUUCGAGGUAGACCAAGAACUGGGUUUAUAUGAGAGAGUUUAUUCCCUCUUCUUGAGCAAUGAAGGUACAUUUCAGGAAUAAUUCUGCGAAUACAUUUGAAAGGGCCAGUGGUAAUUCUCACAUAGAUACAAGAUGAUACAUUGCUCCAGUGAGCGACUGAUUUUGUCACUUGUACCAGCUUCCUUCUAUGGGAAAGACCAGAAUAAUGAAGUCUAGAGAUGGACAUGGAGCACUGGCUGGGUUUCAUAUGAAAGAGUUCAGACCUUCUUCUUGACAUGAAAGAAACUACUGAAAACAUUCCUACUAUUUCAUCCUCAAAAGCCUGUAGGAAUUUUGCAUCAGUUGGAAAUAAUACUGUAAUUGCAUGGAAUUCUUGCCACCUCACCAAAGAAGAGCUAAUUUUGUUCUUUUAUUAGCUCCCUUAUCUGAGAAGCAACACAAUACUGGAUUCUCAAGGUUGAUGUGGACCAGAAACUGUGUUUCAUUUGAAAGAGUUUAUUUCUUCCCCUUGAGAUGUGACUUGAAGGAAAGUAUUGGGAAUAAUUCUGCCUCCCAUGUUUAAGGGUGUGUGUGAAUUCUCGCAAAGGAAUGAAGACAUUGGCCAAACUGAGGUGUUGAUAGAGCCUAGAAGGGCUCUGUGCCUUUGCCUUAUCUCUUGGAUGUUGUCUCCACAGAAUGAGCUCACGACUUCUCAGUCGGUGGUUUUCCAUCUCUACCUGUGGUCUUCUGGACACCCUUUUAGAAGAUGACUUCUUGGGAACUCUUUGGAGUAAAUGAUACCAAUACAUCACUGAAACAAGACUUUUCAAACAAAAAGCCUGUUGUCCAAGGGGCAUCUUCUGAAGGUGACGAUUGCAAAGGCGAGGUGGAUUUGGUGCUGUGGCUGCCAUUACUUCUACCACAGGCUUCACCAAAACAACGAUACAGUCUUCCUUAUGCAUGGCGACUCCUCUCUGUCCUGUGUUGCAGUGGACACCUCCUGCAGAUAAGACAUGCUUAACUGAGAAAUGCUCAUGUCGGGAUAUCAUCGAUGAGACUUUAAUUUGGGCAUGGUGGCUGUUUUCCUUGCUGCCACUUGACUCAAUCCCAGGAGCCUCAGUAGAGGAAAUAUUACUGCACAAGAAACUCAAAAUGAUGGAAUUGCUUAGUGAUCCCAUUAACUAUACAUUUAUCAUUUUCAUUUGCCAUGUGGUAAAUUUUUUAAAUAGGGUAUAUUAAAAAGAAACUGAGUAAACUUUUAUAAAAAUUCAAAUCAUAUCUAAAUAUCUAAUAUAUAAUUAAGUACGUUUGUCAGUCGCAGUCUGUUCCCCAGUUUUCUUCUGUUAAGGGAGUUGUGUGCAUUUUUUAAGUGGAUAGAUAUGCACACACACACACACACAUACUUAAAAGCUAUAUUGGGGGGUUCUGGAAGUGGGGCCCUAUUGUACACAUUUUUCUGAAAAUUGCCUUUCCUUUAACAGUUUUUUCAAUGCCAGUUUUCUAUUUCAGUAAUGCACGUCUGUGUCAUUUGUUGAAUGACUGCAUGACUAUUUUAUAGAUGAAAUAUAAUUGUUUUAAGCAUUUCUCAUUCAUAGAUAAUUAUGUUAGCACCAAAUUUCUGUGCAGUGAGCCUCCCUAUACAUCACUUAUUUUGCAUUUGUCUAUUAUACCAUAAUACUUAGCAGUUGAAAUACUGGGAUUAAGGAUAUGCACAUUUCAAAUUUUGAAAAUUAUUACAAGAUUUCCUUAAAAUUGUGGUAAGAAUUUUUUCCUCAUAUGGCAAUGAAUGAGAUUGCCAGCUUUCCCACACCUCACAGAUAAUAGAUUUUAUAAAUACUUAAAAUCUUUGCCAGUAUGAUAGCCCAAACUAUUGUCUUAAAUUGUAUUUCUUUUGUUUUUGAGUUUGAUCAUUUUUUCAUGUUUACUAGCCAUCUGUAUUUUUUAAUUUCCUCCUUAUGUCCAAUUUUGAGGGUGGAGGGAAGUCUUAGUCUCUUCGUGAUUUUGAAGAGCUCAUUUAUUAUUGGGGGAAUAAGCUUUGGAUUGUCAAGUAUUACAGAUAUUUUUUACACAGUUUUAAACAUCAUUUUUGUUACAAGAAUGUGUAUGAUUGUUAUAUGUCCAAGUUAACCAUGUUUGCUUCUAUGGCUUCUGAGUUUCAUGUCAUUUUGGAAGGAUAUUUAUAUUGAUUCCAUAAAACCCUUCACCUAUGUUAACUUCUAAUUCUUUUGUGUUUUUUUAAAUUCAAAUUAGUUAAUCAUGAGAAAUUUUUUUUAUUUGAAAUCUUAAAGUUGCCAAGUUAUUUGCCAUUACCUGCGAUUAUUUGCCAAUAAUUGCCCAUUUAUCUGUAAUGCCACACCUUUGCACAUAUGCUGUAUUCUCAUCUGUGACUGGCUCCAUUUUUGUUCUGUGAAUCUGUGUCUCUUCUUCUGCCUCCUGUCUCAUGUGUCUUCUCAUUGGUGGAAAUUACAGUUUAGACUGCAAUUUCAUCAACUUUAAUAAAUAAUUUAGGGGAGAAUUGGCUUUUAAAAAUAUAAAUCUUCCUACACAAGGACAAGGUAUGUCUUUCUUAUCUUUUAUUUAAUAACUUUAAUUACUGUUAAUAUUUUAACUUUGUGAUGGGGUAUUUUCUUUCAGUUUAUUUUCUUCCUUGAUAAUUUUUAUGUAUCUGAAAGUUUGUUUUGUUUUUAUGGGUUAGUGGUCAACUUACUCUUACCCAUUACUUCAGAUUUUUUCAAAGUAUGUACUAAAUCCUUUGUAAAUACUGAUAGUUUUGAUUCUUUCCUUCCAAAUGAUCUGGGUUUAGUUAUAUUGAUAAAGUUUACUGACUGGUACUUUCACAGCACUUAAAAUUACCCACCCUUGACUUAAUCAGGUUUUGCUGCAAUGGUUGGAUUUGACCAGCACAUUGUUGCUUGUCUAGUAUCCAAAAGACUCCCAGAAAGAGCAAUAAUCAAGCAAAGCUGAGUUUAUAAACCUACUCCAGCCAUGGGAAACACCACUUUGACAAGGGUCAGUAGUGUUUUAAAACUAGGAAAUUAGAGCUUUGGGUCUGGGAUGGUAUGGUUUAAGGUGGGUUUUUCAAGUCAGAGAUCUGGGUAGGAAUGGGCAAAAUUUGCCAAGCAUAGUUUAAAUGAAAACGGAAUGUGAGGCUAGAUAGGCUAGAUAAAAGUUUUUGUCUUAAAUUAGAUGUUUGUCAGUGUGUGUAAGAUGUUAUCAAUGACAGAAGAGUGAUUUGCUUAGAUGAGCAAACUGUGAAUUUAUUUAUUUGUUUACAGUUCUAUCUUGUUUAUAGGACUCUGCUGGGGGUAGUAUCAGAUCUUAGUCCUAAUAGGUAAGUUAUUUUGAUAGAGGCUGUCUCAGUCAUCAAUAUAAGAUGCUAAUUGUAAAUUUGAGAUAUUUUUGAGUAUCAUGUUAGAAAGUCUCCUAUGUUUUAUAUAUUUCUAAGGAAUUUUAAUCAAAACCAGGUGGUAGAUAUAAUCAAAUGCUUUUUGCACAAACUGUAUUAAUUUUUAAUUAAACUUUUAUCAG